rnacentral:rRNA from 1 species
ACAGGCUUAACACAUGCAAGUCGAGGGGCAUCAGGAAGAAAGCUUGCUUUCUUUGCUGGCGACCGGCGCACGGGUGAGUAACACGUAUCCAACCUGCCCUUUACUCGGGGAUAGCCUUUCGAAAGAAAGAUUAAUACCCGAUGGCAUAAUGAUUCCGCAUGGUUUCAUUAUUAAAGGAUUCCGGUAAAGGAUGGGGAUGCGUUCCAUUAGGUUGUUGGUGAGGUAACGGCUCACCAAGCCUUCGAUGGAUAGGGGUUCUGAGAGGAAGGUCCCCCACAUUGGAACUGAGACACGGUCCAAACUCCUACGGGAGGCAGCAGUGAGGAAUAUUGGUCAAUGGGCGCUAGCCUGAACCAGCCAAGUAGCGUGAAGGAUGAAGGCUCUAUGGGUCGUAAACUUCUUUUAUAUAAGAAUAAAGUGCAGUAUGUAUACUGUUUUGUAUGUAUUAUAUGAAUAAGGAUCGGCUAACUCCGUGCCAGCAGCCGCGGUAAUACGGAGGAUCCGAGCGUUAUCCGGAUUUAUUGGGUUUAAAGGGAGCGUAGGUGGACUGGUAAGUCAGUUGUGAAAGUUUGCGGCUCAACCGUAAAAUUGCAGUUGAUACUGUCAGUCUUGAGUACAGUAGAGGUGGGCGGAAUUCGUGGUGUAGCGGUGAAAUGCUUAGAUAUCACGAAGAACUCCGAUUGCGAAGGCAGCUCACUGGACUGCAACUGACACUGAUGCUCGAAAGUGUGGGUAUCAAACAGGAUUAGAUACCCUGGUAGUCCACACAGUAAACGAUGAAUACUCGCUGUUUGCGAUAUACAGUAAGCGGCCAAGCGAAAGCAUUAAGUAUUCCACCUGGGGAGUACGCCAGCAACGGUGAAACUCAAAGGAAUUGACGGGGGCCCGCACAAGCGGAGGAACAUGUGGUUUAAUUCGAUGAUACGCGAGGAACCUUACCCGGGCUUAAAUUGCAGUGGAAUGAUGUGGAAACAUGUCAGUGAGCAAUCACCGCUGUGAAGGUGCUGCAUGGUUGUCGUCAGCUCGUGCCGUGAGGUGUCGGCUUAAGUGCCAUAACGAGCGCAACCCUUAUCUUUAGUUACUAACAGGUUAUGCUGAGGACUCUAGAGAGACUGCCGUCGUAAGAUGUGAGGAAGGUGGGGAUGACGUCAAAUCAGCACGGCCCUUACGUCCGGGGCUACACACGUGUUACAAUGGGGGGUACAGAAGGCAGCUAGCGGGUGACCGUAUGCUAAUCCCAAAAGCCUCUCUCAGUUCGGAUCGAAGUCUGCAACCCGACUUCGUGAAGCUGGAUUCGCUAGUAAUCGCGCAUCAGCCACGGCGCGGUGAAUACGUUCCCGGGCCUUGUACACACCGCCCGUCAAGCCAUGGGAGCCGGGGGUACCUGAAGUACGUAACCGCAAGGAUCGUCCUAGGGUAAAACUGGUGACUGGGGCUAAGUCAUAACA